UACGUAGGGUGCGAGCGUUAAUCGGAAUUACUGGGCGUAAAGCGUGCGCAGGCGGUUUUGUAAGCCAGACGUGAAAUCCCCGGGCUCAACCUGGGAAUGGCAUUUGGGACUGCAAGGCUGGAGUACGGCAGAGGAGACUGGAAUUCCUGGUGUAGCAGUGAAAUGCGUAGAUAUCAGGAGGAAUACCGAUGGCGAAGGCAGGUCUCUGGGCUGAUACUGACGCUCAUGCACGAAAGCGUGGGGAGCAAACAGG
rnacentral:rRNA from 1 species